rnacentral:misc_RNA from 1 species
GAUGAAGAACGUAGCGAAAUGCGAUACUUGGUGUGAAUUGCAGAAUCCCGUGAACCAUCGAGUCUUUGAACGCAAGUUGCGCCCGAAGCCAUCAGGUUGAGGGCACGUCUGCCUGGGCGUCACAUAUCGUUGCCCAAUGCCUAUUGCAGUGCAAUAGGAAUUUCUAGGGCGAAUGAUGGCUUCCCGUGAGCGUUGUUGCCUCGCGGUUGGUUGAAAAUCGAGUCCUUGGUAGGGUGUGCCAUGGUAGAUGGUGGUCGAGUUAGAACGAUACCGAUCAUGUGCAUGCUCCCCAAAAUAUGGCCUCUAUGACCCACACGCGUCUUUUGACGCUCAUGACGAGACCUCAGGUCAGGCGGGGCUACCCGCUGAAUUUAAGCAUAUCAAUAGCGGAGG